rnacentral:rRNA from 1 species
UACGUAGGUGGCAAGCGUUGUUCGGAAUUAUUGGGCGUAAAGAGCUCGUAGGCGGUCCGUCACGUCGGCUGUGAAAACCUGGGGCUCAACCCCGGGCCUGCAGCCGAUACGGGCGGACUAGAAUUCGGUAGGGGAGACUGGAAUUCCUGGUGUAGCGGUGAAAUGCGCAGAUAUCAGGAGGAACACCGGUGGCGAAGGCGGGUCUCUGGGCCGAUAUUGACGCUGAGGAGCGAAAGCGUGGGGAGCGAACAGG